rnacentral:rRNA from 1 species
CCUACGUGUAGCAGCAGUGAGGAAUAUUGGUCAAUGGACGGAAGUCUGAACCAGCCAUGCCGCGUGCAGGAAGACGGCUCUAUGAGUUGUAAACUUCUUUUAUAAAGGAAUAAAACGAGGCACGUGUGCCUUUUUGCAUGUACUUUAUGAAUAAGGAUCGGCUAACUCCGUGCCAGCAGCCGCGGUAAUACGGAGGAUCCGAGCGUUAUCCGGAUUUAUUGGGUUGAAAGGGAGCGUAGAUGGGUUGUUAAGUCAGUUGUGAAAGUUUGCGGCUCAACCGUAAAAUUGCAAUUGAUACUGGCAGUCUUGAGUACAGUUGAGGUAGGCGGAAUUCGUGGUGUAGCGGUGAAAUGCUUAGAUAUCACGAAGAACCCCGAUUGCGAUGGCAGCUUACGAAACUGUGACUGACAUUGAUGCUCGAAAGUGUGGGUAUCAAACAGGAUUAGAUACCCGAGUAGUC